rnacentral:rRNA from 1 species
AGCGAACGCUGGCGGCAGGCCUAACACAUGCAAGUCGAGCGCCGUAGCAAUACGGAGCGGCAGACGGGUGAGUAACGCGUGGGAACGUGCCCUUUAGUUCGGAAUAACCCAGGGAAACUUGGGCUAAUACCGGAUACGCCCUUCGGGGGAAAGAUUUAUCGCUAAAGGAUCGGCCCGCGUAAGAUUAGCUAGUUGGUGAGGUAACGGCUCACCAAGGCUAUGAUCUUUAGCUGUUCUGAGAGGAAGAUCAGCCACACUGGGACUGAGACACGGCCCAGACUCCUACGGGAGGCAGCAGUGGGGAAUAUUGGACAAUGGGCGCAAGCCUGAUCCAGCCAUGCCGCGUGAGUGAUGAAGGCCUUAGGGUCGUAAAGCUCUUUUACCAGGGAAGAUAAUGACGGUACCUGGAGAAUAAGCCCCGGCUAACUUCGUGCCAGCCGCCGCAGUAAUAC